AUUGAACGCUGGCGGCAUGCCUUACACAUGCAAGUCGAACGGCAGCGGACCUUCGGGUGCCGGCGAGUGGCGAACGGGUGAGUAAUAUAUCGGAACGUACCUUUCAGUGGGGGAUAACGUAGCGAAAGUUACGCUAAUACCGCAUAUUCUGUGAGCAGGAAAGCAGGGGAUCGCAAGACCUUGCGCUGAUUGAGCGGCCGAUAUCAGAUUAGCUAGUUGGUGAGGUAAAGGCUCACCAAGGCGACGAUCUGUAGCGGGUCUGAGAGGAUGAUCCGCCACACUGGAACUGAGACACGGUCCAGACUCCUACGGGAGGCAGCAGUGGGGAAUUUUGGACAAUGGGCGCAAGCCUGAUCCAGCCAUGCCGCGUGCGGGAAGAAGGCCUCGGUUGUAAACCGCUUUGUCUAGGAAGAAACGGUUAGUAGCUAAUACCUACGAACUAAUAGACGGUACCGUACGAAGAAU
rnacentral:rRNA from 1 species